rnacentral:rRNA from 1 species
AUUGAACGCUGGCGGCAGGCCUAACACAUGCAAGUCGAGCGGAUGAAGGGAGCUUGCUCCUGGAUUCAGCGGCGGACGGGUGAGUAAUGCCUAGGAAUCUGCCUGGUAGUGGGGGAUAACGUCCGGAAACGGGCGCUAAUACCGCAUACGUCCUGAGGGAGAAAGUGGGGGAUCUUCGGACCUCACGCUAUCAGAUGAGCCUAGGUCGGAUUAGCUAGUUGGUGGGGUAAAGGCCUACCAAGGCGACGAUCCGUAACUGGUCUGAGAGGAUGAUCAGUCACACUGGAACUGAGACACGGUCCAGACUCCUACGGGAGGCAGCAGUGGGGAAUAUUGGACAAUGGACGAAAGCCUGAUCCAGCCAUGCCGCGUGUGUGAAGAAGGUCUUCGGAUUGUAAAGCAUUUUAAGUUGGGAGGAAGGGCAGUAAGUUAAUACCUUGCUGUUUUGACGUUACCAACAGAAUAAGCACCGGCUAACUUCGUG